rnacentral:pre_miRNA from 1 species
UCCUGAGUUUUGGGGUACGUGUCAGAGGUGCAUUUACAUCGAACUAUUCCAGUUAAGGUAUUUGUAAAUGCACUAUCUGGUACGACAUUCCAGAAUCGAUAAUCGA